GUAGGAAGAUGACAAAAGAGAAACGUGCAAAACAUGCAAUACAUCAAGAUGGAAAUUGAUAUCCAAAAAUAAAAAAACAAGUAAAAAAAUCCUGUGAAAAUUUUGAGAUACUUUUCAUUAAAGCCACAAUUGCAACAACUGUUUAUGUCAUCUAAAACUGCAAAGCAUAUGAGGUGGCAUGCUAAUGAAAAGAAUGUUGAUGGCUUGAUGAGGCAUCUGAAGGAUUUUGAAGCAUGAAAAAAUUUUGACAUGACUUAUCCAAAUUUUGCUUUAGAACCUCGAAAUGUGCGGUUGGCAUUAGCUACUAAUGGUUUCAAUCCUUUUAGAACUUUGAGUAGUACUUAUUAUAGUAUCUGUCCAGUGGUUCUUAUGCCUUAUGAUCUUCCCCUAUGGAUGUGUAUGAAAUAGGGUUCAUUCAUACUUUCAAUGAUAAUUCCCAGACAAAAAGCUCUAGGAAAUGACAUUAAUGUGUAUAUGCAGCCCUUAAUUCAAGAACUUUUAGAUUUGUGAAAUGUUGGAGUGAAAACAUAUGAUUCUUAUUCCAAUGAAAUGUUUAGAAUGCAUGCAGCACUAAUGUGGACAAUUAGUAAUUUUCCUAGCCUUGAGACAUUGUUUGGGUAGAAUGUUCAUAUAGGAUUAGCAUGUUCAACUUGUAAUUUUGAUUGCUCAUCAUUUCAACUAUCUAAUAGUAAAAAAUGGUGUUUUAUAGGUCAUUAAUGCUUUUUAAAUGGUACACACAAAUUUAGGUUGGCUCAUGCUCGAUUUGAUGGAAAAUCAGAGUUGAGAAUGCCACUUAAGGUUUGUUCAGGGUGAGAAAUUUUGAACUAAGUUGAAGUGUUAAUGUGAUUUUUGGCAAGGGUAAUGAUGAAAGAUCUAAAAAAAGGGCUCAAAAUUCAAGUGAUAAGGAUUCUCAACAGUGGCAUAAGAGAAGUAUAUUUUUUUAAUUUUACUUAUUGGUCAAAUAACAUGCUUCGCCAUUAUCUUGAUGUGAUGCAUAUUGAGGAGAAUGUUUAUGAUAAUGUCCUUUUCACAUUAUUGAAUGAGUCUGGUAAAUCAAAAGAUCAUUUACAGGCAUGAAAAGAUUGGAAAGAAAUAGGCAUUAGGCCAGAUUUGUGGCUAGAUGAUAAUGAAAAAUUUUGUCCAGCCAAGUUUAUAUUGAGCAAGUCUAAUAAAGAUGUCUUUCUUAAGACAUUAAAAAAUAUCACUGUUCCAGAUGGAUAUUUGAGUAACAUUUCUAGAUGCGUUGAUUUGAGACAACAGAAGAUUGGGAGCUAAAAAGUCACGACUCUCAUGUUUUGAUGCAACAAUUGCUUCUAUUAGCAAUGAAAAAUACUCUUCCAAAAGAAGUAUCAACUGUGCUGACUAAUUUGUGUUUUAUUUUUAGAAAAUUGUGUGAAAAGGUUGUGAAUGUAAGUGAUCUUGACGAGCUUCCAAGUCGAGUUGUCAUCACUUUAUGUCAUCUAGAAAUUUUUCCACCUUCUUUCUUCACUGUCAUGGUCUAUUUAAUUGUGCACUUUGUUGAAGAAGUCAAACUUGGAGGUCCUGUGCAAUAUCGAUUGAUGUAUCCCAUAGAGAGGUGAGUGAAAAAUAUAUUUUUUGAAUAUCUAAAAAAUAUGUUUCUCUUCACAAUACAAUUGUACAUUUAUAUUAAAGUUAUAAAUUAUUUGUAGGUUAUUGGAAAAAUUUAAAUCAUAUGUUCGAAAUAAAGCUUAGCCAGAAGGUUCAAUUGCAGAAGGUUAUGUGGGUGAAGAAAUAUUAUUAUUUUGUUCUAGAUAUUUAGAUGGAGUUGACACUGUUUUCAAUCACCCUUGUCAAGUUGAUGAUGAACCUAUUUCAGUACUUCUGCCCCUACUAUAUUCCCUCCGGUUGGAAAAUAUAUGGGUGACUUUGAAUACUUUACUCUCACUCCCAAAGAGAGAUUACAAGCACAUCAACACAUGCUUACAAAUUGUCGAGAAGUUGAUCCAUUCAUUGAGCCCCUUGAUUUUGCAUGAAGAUUUACUGCUUAUAAUGUGAAUGGGUUCAAAUUUCGCACUCUUGAACAUGAGCAAGGGCUUACAAAACAAAAUUGUGGUGUGUUUGGUAUGUUUGGCACAAUAAGUUAUCUAAGUAGCAGAGAUGGUGAUAUAUGCUUUAGUGGUAUGGCUUAUUAUGGAAAAUUAGUUGAUAUAAUUGAACUCAAUCAUCAAGGAAGAUUUACAGUGACAUUAUUCAAAUGCAAGUAGGCCAACACUUCCAACUGUCGUGGGAUCAUUAUUAAUGAAUUGGGGAUCACAUCAAUAUUUUUGAGUGACUGUUGUAGGUAUUUAAAGUCAAUAUUUUUUUAUGUACAUUUUCUUGCUAUUUUUUUUAUAAUCUUUUUUUCAUAUGAAAGUGGAAACACUUCUACUCAAUGCUUAAAAGCAAAAGAUGUGUUUUUGCUUCAAAAUGGUGCAAGAAUUCAUGUGAAGUGGAAUACAAUCAACCAAUUAGAGAUGUUGGUGGGCUCUUGACAAGUUUUCUAGGAAUUCUUGCGAUUAAUUACAAUAAUUUCCCAAUAAGAUAUCCUGAUUGGUGCAAGGUUCUUGACAUAAUGAAGGAUCAUGUUUACGAAAAUAUUGUCAAGGCUCAUUUUUUGGUUGAUGAUUUCAACUACAAAAAAAUUAUUCUAAAAGCAAUGGGAGAAAAGUGAAAAGAAUCAAAAUAUGAUUUAUACAAAAACAAUCAAGAUGAUACAAAAUCAGUAGAAGAAUUGAAGAAUGAUGUGCCGAAUUGUGUCUCUAGAGAAGAUUGAGCAGAAUUUGUUGAUCACCAUACAAAUCUUAACACGGAAAUGAUUUCACAUAAAAAUACUAUAAGUAAGGGUCAUUUGAAGAUUCACCAUAUGAGUGGAACUCUCAAUUUCGUGAGGAGAAGGGGUUAUAUGGAAGAAGAAGAUGGACGACAAGUGAACUUGGUGGAGCUUUAUGAAGUAACUCAUUUAAAUAAAGAGGACAAUACUUACAAUGAAGAAACAGCUAUAGCCAUUGUAAGAUAAUAAUUAUUUGAUUAAAAAUUAAUUGAAAAUUAAGUUAACAGAUCAAAAAUUUUCAAAUUUCUCCUUUUUUAAUUAGGAAAAACUCAAAGAAUAUGAAAGUCAACAUUCAUCAGAUUCUAGUGUUAAUGACAUU